GACGAACGCUGGCGGCGUGCCUAAUACAUGCAAGUCGAACGCACUCUCGUUUAGAUUGAAGGAGCUUGCUCCUGAUUGAUAAACAUUUGAGUGAGUGGCGGACGGGUGAGUAACACGUGGGUAACCUGCCCCUAAAGUGGGGGAUAACAUUUGGAAACAGAUGCUAAUACCGCAUAAAAACCCUAAACACCGCAUGGUGUAGGGUUGAAAGAUGGUUUCGGCUAUCACUUUAGGAUGGACCCGCGGUGCAUUAGUUAGUUGGUGAGGUAAAGGCUCACCAAGACCGUGAUGCAUAGCCGACCUGAGAGGGUAAUCGGGCCACACUGGGACUGAGACACGGCCCAGACUCCUACGGGAGGCAGCAGUAGGGAAUCUUCCACAAUGGACGAAAGUCUGAUGGAGCAACGCCGCGUGAGUGAAGAAGGUUUUCGGAUCGUAAAACUCUAGUUGUUGG
rnacentral:rRNA from 1 species